GGUCUCAUAGCUCAGCUGGAUAGAGCAACUGCCUUCUAAGCAGUAGGUCUCUGGUUCGAAUCCAGAUGAGAUCA
rnacentral:tRNA from 1 species